UUUUUGAAGAGUUUGAUCCUGGCUCAGAGUGAACGCUAGCGGUGCGCCUAACACAUGCAAGUCGAGCGACUCUUCGAGAGGAGCGGCGAACGGCUGCGUAACACGUUGGUACCUACCCCAUACUCAGGAAUAACACACCGAAAGGUGUGCUAAUGCCGGAUAGUCCCGCAAGGGUAAAGCUUUCGCGGUAUGGGAGGGGCCUGCGGCCUAUCAGCUUGUUGGUA
rnacentral:rRNA from 1 species